rnacentral:rRNA from 1 species
AUACGUAGGGGGCAAGCGUUGUCCGGAUUUACUGGGUAUAAAGGGAGCGCAGGCGGAUUCGUAAGUCAGGGGUGAAAUCCUACAGCUUAACUGUAGAACUGCCUUUGAUACUGCGAGUCUCGAGAUCGGAAGAGAGAGAUGGAAUUCCAGGUGUAGUGGUGAAAUACGUAGAUAUCUGGAAGAACACCAAUGGCGAAGGCAGUCUCUUGGUCCGUAUCUGACGCUGAGGCUCGAAAGCGUGGGGAGCAAACAGGAUUAGAAACCCCGGUAGUCC